AACGCAGGCCGCACUUUGCAGUAUCACUCUGUGUUACUGCAAGGUAUUUACGUAUGAGUGUCAGCCUAAUAUCCUUUUGGUUCAUGAGGGGGAUUCAUUUCAACUCAUGAAUACACAAAUGUCAAGAGACAUAUCUCUGGAAACAUUUUGUGUGUCUGGCCUCAUAUGUGAAAGGUUACCCGCUGGAUUUAA
rnacentral:misc_RNA from 1 species